UCCUGGCUCAGGAUGAACGCUAGCGGCAGGCUUAAUACAUGCAAGUCGUGGGGCAGCAUGAGUAGCAAUACUUGAUGGCGACCGGCAAACGGGUGAGGAACACGUACACAACCUUCCUUCAAGCGGGGAAUAGCCCAGAGAAAUUUGGAUUAAUACCCAUAAUAUAUUUGAUAAGGCAUCUUAUUAAUAUUAAAGCUUCGGCACUUGAUGAUGGGUGUGCGGCUGAUUAGAUAGUUGGCGGGGUAACGGCCCACCAAGUCUACGAUCAGUAGCUGAUGUGAGAGCAUGAUCAGCCACACGGGCACUGAGACACGGGCCCGACUCCUACGGGAGGCAGCAGUAAGGAAUAUUGGACAAUGGACGAAAGUCUGAUCCAGCCAUGCCGCGUGAAGGAUUAAGGUCCUCUGGAUUGUAAACUUCUUUUAUAUGGGACGAAAAAAGGGCAUUCUUGUUCACUUGACGGUACCAUAUGAAUAAGCACCGGCUAACUCCGUG
rnacentral:rRNA from 1 species